AGUCGAGUCGAGUGGAGUGGAAGUGGAAGUGGAAGUGGAGGUUGCAUGUGGAACGUGUUGUGUUGUCGGUUGGUGCCCAGACACUGCCUGAAGUUGCUGCUGACCGUCCUGAAGAGGCGCCGCCGACAACAGAGAUACCCAUGUGCCCAUAUACCCAUUCCCCCCGGAGCCAGCCCAGAGCCCCAGUCGCCCAGUCGCCCAGACCCUGUCCAGAGGGCCACACACAUCGAUUGGUGGAUGAUGACCGUUCUUUGUGGGCCCCAGAGGUGGGGGUAAAGUGCAUUUGAAAGCGCUGUCUGGUGACAGAAGCAGCAGCAACGGGCAGGGGUGCAGGAGGAGGAGCAGGAGAAGAGAGAGAGAGACAGGGAGAAUUUGCAGAGAUAAGAGAAGCCUGAGAGACAUGGGAUCAUCAGAGAGAGGUGGAGAGACAUAAAAGGGGAUCCUGGGAGACCCAGAGGCACGUAUGGAAACCCCUUUUGGAUACCCUUUCAUAAGGUAUAAGACCAUUUCUUUAAGGAGCAGGCGAUUCAGCGAAGAAAGGGAGAAGUUUCAGCGAUAAGAGAGGCCGGAGAGACAUGGGAUCAUCAGAGAGAUGUGGAGAGACCCAGAGACACGAGCAGGCGAUUCAGCGAAGAGAGGCAGAAGUUGCAGAGAUAAGAGAGGCCUGAGAGACAUGGGAUCAUCAGAGAGAGGUGGAGAGACCCAGAGACACGUAUGGAUACCCCUUUUGGAUACCCUUUCAUAAGGUAUAAGACCUUUUCUUUAAGGAGCAGGCGAUUCAGCGAAGAGAGGCAGAAGUUGCAGAGAUAAGAGAGGCCUGAGAGACAUGGGAUCAUCAGAGAGAGGUGGAGAGACCCAGAGACACGUAUGGAUACCCCUUUUGGAUACCCUUUCAUAAGGUAUAAGACCUUUUCUUUAAGGAGCAGGCGAUUCAGCGAAGAGAGGCAGAAGUUGCAGAGAUAAGAGAGGCCUGAGAGACAUGGGAUCAUCAGAGAGAGGUGGAGAGACCCAGAGACACGUAUGGAUACCCCUUUUGGAUACCCUUUCAUAAGGAAUAAGACCUUUUCUUGGCAGUGAAGAUAAGGCCUUUCGAAGGUGCACUUGUCUUUCCAGCAAAGAAUCAUCUUUCUAUCUUCCCUUAGAAAGAGUAUCUAAAUCCUCGUUUCCCUGCGUUCUUUUUUAUAUCUGCCAUAAAAUGUUGAAUAAAUAUU